UACGUAGGGUGCAAGCGUUAAUCGGAAUUACUGGGCGUAAAGCGUGCGCAGGCGGUUGUGCAAGACCGAUGUGAAAUCCCCGGGCUUAACCUGGGAAUGGCAUUGGUGACUGCGACGGCUAGAGUGUGUCAGAGGGGGGUAGAAUUCCACGUGUAGCAGUGAAAUGCGUAGAGAUGUGGAGGAAUACCGAUGGCGAAGGCAGCCC
rnacentral:rRNA from 1 species